AUUGAACGCUGGCGGAAUGCUUUACACAUGCAAGUCGAACGGCAGCACGGACUUCGGUCUGGUGGCGAGUGGCGAACGGGUGAGUAAUAUAUCGGAACGUGCCCAGUCGUGGGGGAUAACGUAGCGAAAGCUACGCUAAUACCGCAUACGAUCUACGGAUGAAAGCGGGGGAUCGCAAGACCUCGCGCGAUUGGAGCGGCCGAUAUCAGAUUAGGUAGUUGGUGAGGUAAAGGCUCACCAAGCCGACGAUCUGUAGCUGGUCUGAGAGGACGACCAGCCACACUGGGACUGAGACACGGCCCAGACUCCUACGGGAGGCAGCAGUGGGGAAUUUUGGACAAUGGGCGCAAGUCUGAUCCAGCCAUUCCGCGUGCAGGACGAAGGCCUUCGGGUUGUAAACUGCUGUUGUACAGAACGAAAAGGUCUCUAUUAAUACUAGGGGCUCAUGACGGUACUGUAAGAAUAAGCACCGGCUAACUACGUGCCAGCAGCCGCGGAAA
rnacentral:rRNA from 1 species